AGUGAACGCUGGCGGUAGGCCUAACACAUGCAAGUCGAACGGCAGCACAGGAGAGCUUGCUCUCUGGGUGGCGAGUGGCGGACGGGUGAGGAAUACAUCGGAAUCUGCCCAGUCGUGGGGGAUAACGUAGGGAAACUUACGCUAAUACCGCAUACGACCUUCGGGUGAAAGAGGGGGAUCGCAAGACCUCUCGCGAUUGGAUGAGCCGAUGUCGGAUUAGCUAGUUGGCGGGGUAAUGGCCCACCAAGGCGACGAUCCGUAGCUGGUCUGAGAGGAUGAUCAGCCACACUGGAACUGAGACACGGUCCAGACUCCUACGGGAGGCAGCAGUGGGGAAUAUUGGACAAUGGGCGUAAGCCUGAUCCAGCCAUACCGCGUGGGUGAAGAAGGCCUUCGGGUUGUAAAGCCCUUUUGUUGGGAAAGAAAUCUUUCAGGCUAAUACCCUGGGAGGAUGACGGUACCCAAAGAAUAAGCACCGGCUAACUUCGUG
rnacentral:rRNA from 1 species